AUCUGGCUUCCAUCUGAGCACAAACUAGUCACUUACAGAUUAUAUUAGCAGAAGAAUUCGUUGACAGACAAAUAACAUAAACAAAAGUCGCUGCUCUUUGGAUUUCCCCUUCUCAGAAGUUUUUGAGGAUUCCCAAUAGAUCUAAGGUGUCAAGUCAUCGGCUUCUUGCUAGUGCCUGUCCUCUCCCGAGUGGGUGACUGCAUGUUUAUCCUCAGGCGAGGAGGAUGCUGAUUUGAAUAAUUUUCCUCCUCUUCUCACUGGCAAUUGAGACCCUUGUCAUCGAUUCUUGGAGAAAAACCUUGACAAUACUAGCAGCAACUACUGGCAGGAGAGCUGGAUUAGCUGCAUAAGAGAAAAGAAAGCACAGGAGAGAGUGCAAGACAUUGUGUCGACGCAGAUAAAUAUCUCAGUUUACUCAAUGCCAUAAACAGUGUUACGCAAAUAAAUGAGUUGUUUCUUGCUAGCAUAUGUAAGUUUAUAAGAUCUAUUUCGAGUAAGUAAAUAAAGCUGUCUGUACCAUAAACACCCAGCAGCUGUGAUAGCUUUUAUCAACUCUUCUUUCAUUAAGUCUCUAAAAUCAUUAAACAAUAAUGCUUAAAUCCCUCAUUUGUUUAUAUGAUGUACAAAUACACAAUUGCAAAGUACCUGCAUGGAAUAGUUUACUAAGUUCAUUUUUUAGAGCUCCCCUUAUAAAUUUGUUUAUUUGCAGCCACAUAGCAAGUGACCUGAUUGAGGUAUUAGACUUCUGUCUAUUUUGAGACAUUUCUGUCAACACCUGAACAGAACAGAAAUGAAAUGUACCUUCUUCCUGGUACACCAAAUGUCUUCUUCCUUUUUAUACAUCAUAACCCCCCUUCCCUUACCAAGAUCUCCAGCAGACUGCUGAAGGAAUUAGGGAUGACCUUGGCAGCUGAUUGUCAAGGUCAGAGCAGACUAGGCUGCCUCAGGUGUCAGCAUAGGCUCAGUUUGUGCAACUCCUCUCCACCUGAUGUGAUCUGAUCCAAUAAUAGUCACUGUGUUAGCCUUUAAUGAGGUACCCUGUGAGAGCUUAUCGGCCCCCACCUGCUGUCUGCGAUAAUACCAACAGACCUAGAGAAUGCCAACAUGCAGUCAGCAUCCUCUUCCCAUUUUCUUUCUGAUGUUCAGGAAUAUUGUGUUUCAGGCUCACAAUAAGCAUUUAUAUUCAGACUUGUCUUUGAUCCAUAUAUGUCCUGAAAAAAGGCACCUGUCAGCUCUGAUGGCAUCAGGAUGAAACAAUAUAGUGUCAUACAAACGUAUACUUUACUUAUGGACCAUGGAUUAUAAAAACUGAAACUAGUUUGUCAGCCCUUUAGCUCCUAAAAUUCAGUGUUAUAGGUUGAGAACAAAAUAAUGGAAUGCAUUUUUCUCUCAGCAUGAUUCUUCUGUCUGUCACAUUGUAAAAAAUAUAGCCUAAUUACUGUCAGGCUAUAACACAGUAAUUAAACAAUAUUAAAGAAAUUUACACAAACAA